UACAGAGGUGGCAAGCGUUGUUCGGAAUUAUUGGGCGUAAAGCGCACGUAGGCGGCCGACUAAGUCGGGUGUGAAAGCCCUGGGCUCAACCCAGGAAGUGCACUCGAAACUGGUCGGCUUGAGUAUGGAAGAGGGUUGCGGAAUUCCUGGUGUAGCGGUGAAAUGCGCAGAUAUCAGGAGGAACACCAGCGGCGAAGGCGGCGCUCUGGGCCGGUACUGACACUGAGGAGCGAAAGCGUGGGUAGCAAACAGG
rnacentral:rRNA from 1 species